rnacentral:rRNA from 1 species
UACGUAGGGGGCAAGCGUUGUCCGGAUUUAUUGGGCGUAAAGAGCUCGUAGGCGGCUCGGUAAGUCGGAUGUGAAACCUCCAGGCUCAACCUGGAGACGCCAUCUGAUACUGCCGUGGCUUGAGUCCGGUAGAGGAGCAGGGAAUUCCUGGUGUAGCGGUGAAAUGCGCAGAUAUCAGGAGGAACACCAAUUGCGAAGGCAGCUCGCUGGGACGUUACUGACGCUGAGACGCGAAAGCGUGGGGAGCAAACAGG